UGUUCGUGUUGGAUUAUCAUGAUUUGCUUCUACCUUAUGUGAACAAAGUGAGAGAGUUGGAUAACACCAACUUAUAUGCAUCUCGAACACUAUUCUACCUCAGCGAUGAUAGCACAUUGAGGCCUGUUGCCAUUGAGUUGACAGUUCCACCAAAUAUCAACAAGCCACAAUGGAAGCAAGUCUUCACACCAGGCUAUGAUGCUACCUCAUGCUGGCUAUGGAGUCUUGCUAAGACUCAUGCUAUAUCUCAUGACGCCGGUUAUCACCAGCUUAUAUCCCAUUGGUAUUGAAAAACACUCAUUAAUUCAAAACACACAUAUUUAUAUGAUCUUCUUAUAUACGGAUUACUGAUGGAUAAAUUUACAGGUUGAGGACUCAUUGUUGUAUGGAGCCGUACAUUAUAGCGGCAAACAGGCAACUAAGUGCAAUGCAUCCUAUCUAUAGGCUUUUGCAUCCUCACUUCCGUUACACGAUGGAGAUCAACGCUCGUGCACGUCAAAGUCUUGUCAAUGCAGGUGGAAUCAUUGAGACUUGUUUUUGGCCCGGGAGGUAUUCAUUGGAGCUAAGUUCAGACGUCUAUGAUAAACUAUGGAGGUUUGACAUGGAAGGCUUACCUGCUGAUCUCAUCAAAAGGUGCAUUUUGCUAAUUAAAAUGAAAUAUAUUUACCACCAAAGUUUAAUUGCAAAGCUAAUUAGUUUUUGUUUCCAUUAAAAAUUUGCAAUAUAAGGGGGAUGGCUGAAGAAGAUGAGAACGCUAAACAUGGACUACGCCUGACGAUACCAGACUACCCGUUUGCGAAUGACGGUCUAAUAUUAUGGGAUGCAAUUAAAGAAUGGGUGACAGAAUAUGUGAACCACUAUUAUCCAGAUGCAGAACUGAUCAAGUCGGACGAGGAACUUCAAGGAUGGUGGAGCGAAGUGCAAAACGUAGGACAUGGAGACAAGAAAGAUGAACCUUGGUGGCCUGUCCUCGAGACACAAGAUGACUUAAUUAAUAUCGUCACGACGAUUGCGUGGGUCGCUUCAGGUCACCAUGCAGCUGUAAACUUUGGACAGUAUGGAUAUGGAGGAUACUUCCCUAACAGACCAACCACAACAAGGAUAAAAAUGCCGACAGAAGAACCAACAGAUGAAGAGCUAGAGGAGUUCUACGAGUCACCAGAAAAAGUAAUGCUUAAAACAUACCCAUCACAGAAGCAGGCGACUCUAGUGAUGGUCACUUUGGAUCUUUUAUCAACUCAUUCAGUUGAUGAAGAGUACAUUGGAGAGUAUCCGGAAUCAUCUUGGGCUGAUGAACCUAUGAUAAAUGCUGCUUUUGAACGUUUUAAAGGUAGGCUUCAAUAUCUAGAAGGAGUGAUAGAUGAGAGAAACGUGACACUUUCUCUAAAGAAUAGAGCUGGAGCUGGUGUGGUUAAGUAUGAGCUUUUGAAGCCUACUUCUGAGCAUGGUGUUACUGGAAUGGGUGUUCCCUACAGUAUUUCUAUUUGAUCUAUUUUGUUUUCCUUUCCCAAGUGUCUUUAUUUUUCUGUAUGUCUUCAAGAAAUAAAACAACUGAUCCAUUGUCUUUUCUAUAUAAAUCU
rnacentral:lncRNA from 1 species